GCCCCAGAAGAAAGAGCAAUGCAGAAAGCGCAAACAUAACUUGAAUAAAUGGACUAAAAUUUAGAAAUAAUAAGACCAACCAAACCGUUAUUAAUUAUCACAGCAAAGGAAGAUGGCCCCAGAAGAAAGAGCUAUGCAGAAAGAGCAAAAGUAAAUGUCAUCUGUCGUACAGGUAUAGGAAUAGUCAGCCAGAAGAAUAAAUGGAAGUCACUUUUACAACAAAAGGUUGAUUUUCCAAACAUCUUUAUGUUUCAAAAACAUGAUAGCUUCCAAACCAAAGAUGGAUAGAUGAAAUAACUUAAGCAACCUGAUAACAUGUAACCUUGACCUAGAAUAAUUUCAAUCAAAGGAAGAUGGCCCCAGAAGAAAGAGCUAUGCAGAAAGAGCAAAAGUAAAUGUCAUCUGUCGUACAGGUAUAGGAAUAGUCAGCCAGAAGAAUAAAUGGAAGUCACUUUUACAACAAAAGGUUGAUUUUCCAAACAUCUUUAUGUUUCAAAAACAUGAUAGCUUCCAAACCAAAGAUGGAUAGA
rnacentral:lncRNA from 1 species